GGCGCUAUAGCCAAGUGGUUAAGGCGAUUGAUUAGAAUUUCACAACUAUCAAUUCCACUUUGUGGGCGCAGGUUCAAAUCCUGCUGGCGUCG
rfam:Phlebia centrifuga strain FBCC195 PHLCENscaffold_2678, whole genome shotgun sequence.